GUUAAUAGAAGUCAAAAAAAAUUUAAAUAAUUAUAAAUAUAUUAAUAUAAUUAAACUAGUACUGUAAAGGAACUAAAAUUCAAUUAAAAGAAAUUUUUAAAAUUUGUACCUUUUGUAUCAGGGUUUAAUUAAUAAUAAAGAUUUUUAUAUCCCAAAAUAAUUUGAGCUAUUAAUUAGCAUAUUAUGUAAAAAAAAAAUUAAUAGGGUUGAAAUGACUUCCGUAAGUUAUAUAUUUGGUUAUAAAGAAAGUCUUUAAGAGGCAAAUAAAAUAGGGGCUAAAUUUUAUAAAGCAAUAUUUUAAUAAUGCAAAAGAAAAAUAAGGAUUAAAAAUAUCUUAAUAUAAUCAUUAUACUUGGGGUUUUAAUAUUAAUAUACUAUAAUAAUAAUUAUUAAAAUUAAUAUUAAUGUUAGAAUUAGUAGAUUAAAUUUAAUAGUAGUUAUUAAAUAAUUAAAAAAUUAUUAAAUUAAGUAUAAGUAAUAAGAAUUAAGCAAAAAAAUUAAUUAAUAUUUAUCAAAAAUAUAUUUUUAUGGUUUAAAAUAAAAUCUUAUCUGCUCAAUGAAUUAAAUAGCUGCAGUAAAUUAACUGAACAAAGGUAGCAAAAUAAUGAAUUUAUUAAUUGUAAAUUUGGAUGAAAGAUGUUAAUUAGUUAAUUUUUUUUUAUAUAAAGUCAAAUUUUACUUUUUAGUUAAAAGGCUAAAAAUUAAAAUUUUAGAAGAGAAGACCCUAGAAAAUUUUAUUGUACGCAAUUUUAUUGGGGUAAUAAAAAUAUUAUAUUAAAAAAAAAAUAAAUUAAAUUUUUAAAUUAAAAGAUCUAAUUAUAAAUUUUUGUAAAUUACUUUAGGGAUAACAGGAAGAAUAAUAUUUAAGUUCAAAUUAAAUAAAAAAAAUUUACCUCGAUGUUGAAUUAAUAGCCUAUUUGGUGCAACGGUUAAAUAAGGUAAUCUGUUCGAUUAAUAAUUAAUUACAUGAUUUGAGUUCAAAUCGGCGUGAGCCAGAUUGGUUUCUAUCUUUAUUUUAUAUUAAAAUUAUAAGUACGAAAGGAAAUUAGUUUUUAAAUUAUUUAUUUUUAAUAAAAAUUUAAUU
rnacentral:rRNA from 1 species